AUUGGGCAUAAAGUGUGCGUAGGUGGUUUUUUAAGUCAGGAGUGAAAGGCUACGGCUCAACCGUAGUAAGCUCUUGAAACUGGAAAACUUGAGUGCAGGAGAGGAAAGUGGAAUUCCUAGUGUAGCGGUGAAAUGCGUAGAGAUUAGGAAGAACACCAGUGGCGAAGGCGGCUCUCUGGACUGUAACUGACGCUGAGGCACGAAAGCGUGGGGAGCAAACAGGAUUAGAUACCCUGGUAGUCCACGCUGUAAACGAUGAAUACUAGGUGUCGGGGGUCGAACCUCGGUGCCGCACGCUAAUGCAAUAAGUAUUCCGCCUGGGGAGUACGAUCGCAAGGCUGAAACUUAAAUGAAUUGACGG
rnacentral:rRNA from 1 species